rnacentral:rRNA from 1 species
UACGGAGGAUCCGAGCGUUAUCCGGAUUUAUUGGGUUUAAAGGGUGCGUAGGCGGGAGAUUAAGUCGGUGGUGAAAUUUUGCAGCUCAACUGUAAAAGUGCCUUCGAAACUGGUUUCCUUGAGUGUGGAUGAAGUAGGCGGAAUUUGUGGUGUAGCGGUGAAAUGCAUAGAUAUCACGAGGAACUCCGAUUGCGCAGGCAGCUUACUAAACUACUACUGACGCUCAGGCACGAAGGCGUGGGGAUCAAACAGGAUUAGAUACCCCUGUAGUCCCU